rnacentral:rRNA from 1 species
GAUUAACGCUAGCGGCAGGCCUAAUACAUGCAAGUCGAGGGGCAGCGGGAGUAGCAAUACUUGCCGGCGACCGGCGCACGGGUGCGUAACGCGUAUGCAACUUACCCACAACAGGUGAAUAGCCCAGAGAAAUUUGGAUUAAUACACCGUAGUAUAAAGAUGUGGCAUCACAUUUUUAUUAAAGAUUUAUCAGUUGUGGAUGGGCAUGCGUCCCAUUAGCUAGUUGGCGAGGUAACGGCUCACCAAGGCGACGAUGGGUAGGGGAUCUGAGAGGAUUAACCCCCACACUGGUACUGAGACACGGACCAGACUCCUACGGGAGGCAGCAGUAAGGAAUAUUGGACAAUGGUGGCAACACUGAUCCAGCCAUGCCGCGUGCAGGAUGACGGCCCUAUGGGUUGUAAACUGCUUUUAUUCGGGAAUAAACCUCCGUACGAGUACGGAGCUGAAGGUACCGAAUGAAUAAGCAUCGGCUAACUCCGUGCCAGCCGCCGCGGUAAAAC